rnacentral:rRNA from 1 species
GAUCAUGGCUCAGAUUGAACGCUGGCGGCAGGCUUAACACAUGCAAGUCGAACGGUAACAUAAAGAAGCUUGCUUUUUUGAUGACGAGUGGCGGACGGGUGAGUAAUGCUUGGGAAUCUAACUUAUGGAGGGGGAUAAUUACGGGAAACUGUAGCUAAUACCGCGUAAUAUCGAAAGAUUAAAGUGUGGGACCUUCGGGCCACAUGCCAUAGGAUGAGCCCAAGUGGGAUUAGGUAGUUGGUGAGGUAAAGG